CCUGACUAUGAGAGAAUGAUCAUCCUAGCAACUUUACCUCUAAGUAUCUCCCGAUGGUUAGAGGCAUAAUAAUAUUAUAGGUGAAAACCAUUUAACCUCUCGGUACUAUUUAUAAAUUUCUGACCAUCAAAAAAUCUUAAAGUUUGUGUCUGACUAUAAUUAGAGAUAUAGAGUUUUAAUUUUAUCUUUUAAGAGUUUUCUUAUUCUAUUAUCACUCAUCUUUUAACUUAUAAGAAUUGACCUAUUUCAAAUUAUAUUAAAAUAUCUAUGUGGAACAUAGAGUUUAAAUAAAACUCUUAUAUGAAUAAGCGAACCUAACAUCAAGUGGAGCAUUCGUAUUGCCAAUGGCAAACCAGGACAUAAUCUUCUUCCCCCACCAAACGGUAUAAGCUCAAAGUUCCGCCCUCUAACAUCAAUUUCUGACCCAAAGAACCUCUCUGGCAUAAAUGAAUCUGUAUUUUCCCAUGUACUUGGGUCUCGUCCUAUAGCCCAUGCAUUCACCAGCACCUAUGCAUUCUUUGGGAUAAUAUAGCCGUUGAUUUCCACUUCUGCUUCGGCCUUCAAGAACAAAGAUAAAGAGUAAAAAAGAAGCAAAAUAGAAUUUGAGCACAUCGCUGAAUUUGAGCAAACGACAACAUAGAAGAAGAAUGCACGAGAUGAAGGCUGGAGGGCUUGACCAGACUCUGCCCAACAAAUAAAUAAGAAUUUUCUCGCGAGUGAGAAUGAAUGCAUUGUUUUGUCAACAAAGUUGAUUUGCUUCUGCAAUUGAUCCUAGACUUAUCACAUACGGACAAGAGUCACGAGACAUGACAGGAACGACUUUGUUUGUGGCCUCACAGCAAAGAGAAUUAAAUCCUGAUAUAUCUUGUAUGACUAUUUUAUUGUUCUCAUUCUCCUCUCUACUAGUUGCCAGUUGGCCUUACAAAAAUCUCAAUACGUUACAAUAAAUUGAUGUUAAAGUAGCUAGUGGAUUUUCUGUAGUCUUUCAUUCUAACACAGCUGCAAAAGAGACUUGGGGUGAAUACAAGACAGAUUUGGCUACCCUCCCGAAGCCCUUGUGCGUGGCACUUUGUGUUGUUUUUUAACUUUCCUACCAUCGUUUCUCCUACUUUCAAACUUACGAAAAUUCCUGAUGCAUCCUUAAAAUUGUACAAGAGAAAAAGGCUUGGGGCCGGAUGGGUUUAAAAGAUAUUUUCACACCAACCAAUGGUAAUGUGCCACGUAAGCACUCCAAGAAAACACAUGCUGAACCCGUGUCCACCCGAUCCUCCUCUUUUCCUCCGAAUCUCUCUCCCUCCCCCACCUCCAUCAUCUGCACGCAAGCUUCUCAGUUCUGAAAAAAACCCGCUGUCUCCACCCGAUUAUACCCACUGACCAAUACCAAUUCUUCUGUAAAUGGAUCGAUCAAAGAAACCCAAAAAACUAAUCAUUCUCUUUGUUUAUUUACUAGAACUACUGUGGCUCACACCAAAUAUCCCCAUAUGGUAGUCAGUCUGAAACAACUGAACAACAAACAGAUAAAACCAAAUACCAACAAUACAAAUUUAAAAAAAAAAAAAAAACGCAGAUCUUGACAACAACUCAAUUCGCUUACAGGAUUUGGUCGUCUUGUCCUUUAGAAUCUUCUUCUUGUUUUUAUUAUUCACUUUGUUCCUUUCAUUUUCAUCUACAGACGUGUGUUCUCAAAGUGAACAUACAUUAUGAUGAGUGUAAGCAGCAAGUGAAGAAACUCCUUCAAAGAAUUGAAGUUCUAGUUUGGUUGCCCAGAAAUGAUGGACGAUAAAUUAUGAAAUGGAAUAUCAGGGGUCUUGAAGCCUUGAAGAACCAACAGAAAUUUCCUGCUUUCUGAAGGAGAUGAUGACUAUUCUGUUGACAAGGAAGCGGAUGAUGAAGAGGAUGAGCUGCGCUUUAUUAGGGAGAUAGCUAACGACCUUGGUCUUCUUAGGCAGCAAGCAAUUGAUGCAAAUAAUGGCAGCAAGCAAUUGAUGCAAAUAAUGCAAAGAAGGGUGUUGGAUCAUUGGGGCUGCUUCCAACAAUGGGAAAAUUAACAAUGUUGUAAAUGGGAAUGCUGGAAAUGAGAAGCUUGCGUGCAGAUGAUGGGGUGGGGCUCAGCAUGUGUUUUCCUGAAGUGCCUACGUGGCACAUUAUUAUUGGCUGGUGCGAAAAACUUCUUUUAAACCCAUCCGGCCCCAAGCUUUUCUCAUUGUACAAUCAUGCCAUAGCUUUCAUUCCCAAACCUCUCUUGAUUUAUACACACACAGAGAGAGCCAAUGUUGAAUUAAUAUAUGUACAAGUUGGCAACCAGCCCCCAGUAAGUCCCGUUAUGAGAUUUUAUGUUAUGGUACGAUUUUAUACAACAUAACAACAUGUCGAGUCCCAAUUUGGGGAAAGAACAAAUAACUUCACUGGUCAUUGCCUUGCAGGAAAUGGCGAAACUCCUGAAAACAGCAACACCUUCCGGAGAGAGAGAAGCGAUUAUUUCUGAGAUGAACAAUGAGUCCUCUUACGUGAGCAACACCGGUCAGCUUUAGAGCUUGAAUUUCUGCACAACAUUUCACCAAGUAAAACAAAUGUUGAUUUGAGAUAUUGAAGCCUCGGUUUUCAGAAAUAAACUUACAAAUUUUCAUCA